rnacentral:rRNA from 1 species
UUCCAGACUCCUACGGGAGGCAGCAGUGAGGAAUAUUGGUCAAUGGGCGCGAGCCUGAACCAGCCAAGUCGCGUGAGGGAAGACUGCCCUAUGGGUUGUAAACCUCUUUUGUCAGGGAGCAAUUGGCGCUACGUGUAGCGUUAUCGAGAGUACCUGAAGAAAAAGCAUCGGCUAACUCCGUGCCAGCAGCCGCGGUAAUACGGAGGAUGCGAGCGUUAUCCGGAUUUAUUGGGUUUAAAGGGUGCGUAGGCGGAAUGCCAAGUCAGCGGUAAAAUCGCGGGGCUCAACCUCGCUCCGCCGUUGAAACUGGCGUUCUUGAGUGGGCGAGAAGUAUGCGGAAUGCGUGGUGUAGCGGUGAAAUGCAUAGAUAUCACGCAGAACUCCGAUUGCGAAGGCAGCAUACCGGCGCCCAACUGACGCUGAAGCACGAAAGCGUGGGUAUCGAACAGGAUUAGAUACCCGAGUACG